UACGAGUGCUCCAAGCGUUAUCCGGAAUCAUUGGGCGUAAAGGGUGUGUAGGCGGUUGUGUUAGUCUUUUGUUAAAUUCUUCGGCUUAACCGGGGGCAUGCAAGAGAAACGGCACAACUAGAGGAUGCGAGAGGUAUAUGGAACUCAUGGAGUAGGGGUGAAAUCCGUUGAUAUCAUGGGGAACACCAAAAGCGAAGGCAAUAUACUGGCGCACUCCUGACGCUGAGACACGAAAGCGUAGGUAGCGAAUGGG
rnacentral:rRNA from 1 species